CGAACGGGUGAGUAACGCGUGAGGAACCUGCCUCAAAGAGGGGGACAACAGUUGGAAACGACUGCUAAUACCGCAUAAGCCCACGGCUCGGCAUCGAGCAGAGGGAAAAGGAGCAAUCCGCUUUGAGAUGGCCUCGCGUCCAAUUAGCUAGUUGGUGAGGUAACGGCCCACCAAGGCGACGAUCGGUAGCCGGACUGGGAGGUUGAACGGCCACAUUGGGACUGAGACACGGCCCAG
rnacentral:rRNA from 1 species